GCGGGUGUAGUUUAGUGGUAAAACAACUGCCUUCCAAGCAGUGGUCGGGAGUUCGAUUCUUCUCACCCGCA
rnacentral:tRNA from 3 species